UACGGAAGGCAGCAGUGGGGAAUAUUGCACAAUGGGCGCAAGCCUGAUGCAGCCAUGCCGCGUGUAUGAAGAAGGCCUUCGGGUUGUAAAGUACUUUCAGUCGUAGAGGAAGGUGUUAAGGUUAAUAACCUUAGCAAUUGACGUUAGCGACAGAAGAAGCACCGGCUAACUCCGUGCCAGCAGCCGCGGUAAUACGGAGGGUGCGAGCGUUAAAUCGGAAUUACUGGGCGUUAAAGGGCACGCAGGCGGUUAAUUAAGUUGGAUGUGAAAUCCCCGGGCUUAACCUGGGAAUGGCAUUCAAGACUGGUUAGCUAGAGUCUUGUAGAGGGGGUAGAAGUUCCAAUGUGUAGCGGUGAAAUGCGUAGAGAUGUGGAGGAAUACCGGUGGCGAAAGGCGGCCCCUGGACAAAGGACUGACGCUCAGUGUGCGAAAAGCGUGGGGAGCAAACAGGGAUUAGAUACC
rnacentral:rRNA from 1 species